rnacentral:rRNA from 1 species
UACGAAGGGGGGCUAGCGUUGCUCGGAAUGACUGGGCGUAAAGGGCGCGUAGGCGGACGGCUUUGUCGGGCGUGAAAUUCCAGGGCUUAACCUUGGGGCUGCGUUCGAGACGGGUUGUCUAGAGUUUGGAAGAGGGUCGUGGAAUUCCCAGUGUAGAGGUGAAAUUCGUAGAUAUUGGGAAGAACACCGGUGGCGAAGGCGGCUCACUGGUCCGGUACUGACGCUGAGGUGCGAAAGCGUGGGGAGCAAACAGG